UACGUAGGGGGCGAGCGUUGUCCGAAGUUACUGGGCGUAAAGCGCGCGUAGGCGGGGAAGAAAGUCUACUGUGAAAGCCCGGAGCUCAACUCCGGAGGGUCGGUAGAUACUUUUUCUCUUGAAGCUGCUAGGGGGAGAUGGAAUUACCGGUGUAGCGGUGAAAUGCGUAGAUAUCGGUAGGAACACCUGUGGCGAAGGCGGUCUCCUGGGGCAGACUUGACGCUGAGGCGCGAAAGCUGGGGGGAGCGAACGGG
rnacentral:rRNA from 1 species